rnacentral:rRNA from 1 species
UAUCCUGUCUGAAUAUGGGGGGACCAUCCUCCAAGGCUAAAUACUCCUGACUGACCGAUAGUGAACCAGUACCGUGAGGGAAAGGCGAAAAGAACCCCGGCGAGGGGAGUGAAAAAGAACCUGAAACCGUGUACGUACAAGCAGUGGGAGCACGCUUAGGCGUGUGACUGCGUACCUUUUGUAUAAUGGGUCAGCGACUUAUAUUCUGUAGCAAGGUUAACCGAAUAGGGGAGCCGAAGGGAAACCGAGUCUUAACUGGGCGUUAAGUUGCAGGGUAUAGACCCGAAACCCGGUGAUCUAGCCAUGGGCAGGUUGAAGGUUGGGUAACACUAACUGGAGGACCGAACCGACUAAUGUUGAAAAAUUAGCGGAUGACUUGUGGCUGGGGGUGAAAGGCCAAUCAAACCGGGAGAUAGCUGGUUCUCCCCGAAAGCUAUUUAGGUAGCGCCUCGUGAAUUCAUCUCCGGGGGUAGAGCACUGUUUCGGCAAGGGGGUCAUCCCGACUUACCAACCCGAUGCAAACUGCGAAUACCGGAGAAUGUUAUCACGGGAGACACACGGCGGGUGCUAACGUCCGUCGUGAAGAGGGAAACAACCCAGACCGCCAGCUAAGGUCCCAAAGUCAUGGUUAAGUGGGAAACGAUGUGGGAAGGCCCAGACAGCCAGGAUGUUGGCUUAGAAGCAGCCAUCAUUUAAAGAAAGCGUAAUAGCUCACUGGUCGAGUCGGCCUGCGCGGAAGAUGUAACGGGGCUAAACCAUGCACCGAAGCUGCGGCAGCGACGCUGAUGCGUUGUUGGGUAGGGGAGCGUUCUGUAAGCCUGCGAAGGUGUGCUGUGAGGCAUGCUGGAGGUAUCAGAAGUGCGAAUGCUGACAUAAGUAACGAUAAAGCGGGUGAAAAGCCCGCUCGCCGGAAGACCAAGGGUUCCUGUCCAACGUUAAUCGGGGCAGGGUGAGUCGACCCCUAAGGCGAGGCCGAAAGGCGUAGUCGAUGGGAAACAGGUUAAUAUUCCUGUACUUGGUGUUACUGCGAAGGGGGGACGGAGAAGGCUAUGUUGGCCGGGCGACGGUUGUCCCGGUUUAAGCGUGUAGGCUGGUUUUCCAGGCAAAUCCGGAAAAUCAAGGCUGAGGCGUGAUGACGAGGCACUGCGGUGCUGAAGCAACAAAUGCCCUGCUUCCAGGAAAAGCCUCUAAGCAUCAGGUAACAUCAAAUCGUACCCCAAACCGACACAGG